GGGUCCUCAUUCCCCCAAUUUCACGUUACGUUCAAACACAGAGAGAGAGAGAGAAGAACGACGACGAAGAAGAAGAUCGAUCGAAGGAAGCCAGAAGAAGAAGAACGAACAUCACCACACCACCAAGAACCCGAAUGGUUGUUCCUUUUUUACAUGGUAUGACCCCCCUACUUGUGCUAGAGGCAUGGAUUAUGGAAGGCAGAUGUCAAGAAAAAUUGAUGAAAUUGCAAGCUGAAAAUGAAGACCUGCUACGGAAAAAUGAAACAAUGGUAAUGAAAAUUGAGGAAUUGAUGAGCUCAAAUGAGAGUGUGGCCAAAAAAGUUCAAGAGUUGUGAGACAAGAACCAUCCGUUAUCGAAGAGAAAUGAAGAGUUGGUGAGGUCCUUAGCAUUGUCUGAAUCCAAAGUGUUGAAGCUCCAGCGUUUUUUUUAGUUGCUAUAAUCUGGACUUGUAAGCAUUUCAAUUGUUGAGAUGUAUAUUCGCAAGAUGUUAGAACUUAUGUGGAGAAAUCUUUGAUGUUAGAAUUUCUUGUGUGUAAGCAUUUCGGUAACUAGUGUGACUGAUAGAAUUCUGCCAUGUUUUGCUCCAUUUUAUUGCAGUUGGUAUUUUAACUUUUGUUUU